rnacentral:ncRNA from 1 species
AUUAAUUCUAUGAAGAGGAGAGUAGGAUAAACUAGAGGUAAUAGCGAAUCGGGGAUGGUGGAAGCUCGAUACCAAGGUUUAUCUGAAGCGCACCUCGGAGAAGCUAUCUGAAAUUUAGUAGGAAUAGUCGUAUUCCCUGCGUUAUAGGGACAAGAGAGGGUAUAUUAACUCAUUUGUAGAGUUAGUAUAUCAAUAAGAGUGGUAACACGGGAAUAACUCUCGUCUCUUAA